AUGAAUCCCAUGUGGCUCUUCCUCUUUCUGCUGUCAGCUCCCAGAUGUGUCCUGUCCCAGGUGCAGCUACAGGAGUCGGGCCCAGGACUGGUGACGCCCUCGCAGACCCUCCCUCUCACCUGUGCUGUCUCUGGUUACUCCAUCACAACCAGUGGUACAUGCUUGAGCUGGAUCCGCCAGCCCCCAGGAAAGGGGCUGGAGUGGAUGGGUGGCAUAUGUUAUGAUGGAAACACUUACUACAGCCCCUCCCUCAAGAGCCAAACCUCCAUCUCCAGAGACACUUCCAAGAACCAGUUCUCCCUGCAGCUGAGCUCCAUGACCACCGAGGACACAGCUGUGUAUUACUGUGUGCGAGACACAGUGAGAGGAAGUCAGUGUGAGCCCAGACAUAAACCUCCCUGA